rnacentral:piRNA from 1 species
UGGCAACCUUUAUGGCCACCGUC